AUGAGCAUUGGAGUGAGUAAGUCCUUGCCGGUGGUGGUCGUCGGCCCUUGCGCCGGCAUCGUCCAUCUCUCCUCUUUCGACAGGUGCAUAGCUCCUAUUCCGGUCACGCUGCUCCUUGUCUUCGACCAACCAAUCGACGGCCCCGUCGAGACCAUCAAAAAAGCGCUGUCGCGGGCACUUGCGCACUACCCCCCGAUGGCCGGCCGCCUCGCUGCCACCGGCGACGACGGGGAGCUCCACAUCGCCUGCACCGGCGAAGGUGUCUCUUUCGUGGGUGCGGCAGUUAGCUGUGCCCUGGACGACGACGAGGUCACGACACCGGCGCUGCUCCUCGGCGACCUCGCCGUUGGCUACCCCGCCGAAUACUGCGGCCUCAGCGACGCCUUUCUACUGAUGCAGGUGACCGAGUUCUCGUGCGGCGGAUUCGUCGUCGGCAUGACAUGGAACCACGUCAUGGCCGACGCGGCGGGGAUGGCGCAGUUCCUGCAGGCCGUCGGCGAGCUCGCUCGGGGGAUGCCGGCGCCGGCCGUCGUUCCGGUCCGGUCCGAAAUCGACGGCUCGCUGCCACGCCUCCCGCCAGCGAUGGUCGCCGCUGUGAGGUCCCAGAUGCGCAUGGAAACGGAGGAACUGGCGAGCCUCGACGUCACCAUCCCCUCGAGCUUGGUCGGCCGCAUCAAAGCCGAGUGCGCCGGCGACUGCACGGUGUUCGAAGCCGUCGCGGCCGUGCUCUGGCGGUGCCGCACCCGCGCGGUCAUCUCCGAUUCCGAUGCUGACACCGACGACCCUGCGCCCCUCGCCUUCCCAAGCAACGUGCGCGGCCUCGUCGGCGCCAAGGAAGGCUACUACGGCAACUGCGUCACCAUGCAUCAGGUCCAAGCGACAAGCGGCGCGGUGGCGAGCGGCGACAUCAAGGACCUGGUGAAGCUCAUCAAGCUUGCAAAGGAGAAGGCGUCGGACAUAUUCAGGAGCAGCAGAGAUGCCGUCAGCGGCGGCGAGAGCGAGACAGAUGCCGGCAGCAGUGGAGAGCAGCCGCAGCUGGCACCCCCAUGCUCAAGGUACAACACGCUCAGUGUCACGAGCUGGAGGAACCUUGGGUUCGAAGCCGUGGAUUUCGGGCGUGGGACGCCGGCGCGCGUGAUGUGGAAGGCGCAUCAGACGGUGGGUUUCAUCUGCGUUGUGUGCCCGCCGUGCAAGGGGGAGGACGGCGUCAACGUCGUGUCCCUCUGCGUCAAGCCGGAGCACGCCGACGCCUUCGUGGCGGAGUUGGCCGCCCUCAACAUAUAA
rnacentral:rRNA from 1 species